GAUGAACGCUGGCAGCGUGCCUAAUACAUGCAAGUCGAGCGAACGGACGAGAAGCUUGCUUCUCUGAUGUUAGCGGCGGACGGGUGAGUAACACGUGGAUAACCUACCUAUAAGACUGGGAUAACUUCGGGAAACCGUAGCUAAUACCGGAUAAUAUUUUGAACCGCAUGGUUCAAAAGUGAAAGACGGUCUUGCUGUCACUUAUAGAUGGAUCCGCGCUGCAUUAGCUAGUUGGUAAGGUAACGGCUUACCAAGGCAACGAUGCAUAGCCGACCUGAGAGGGUGAUCGGCCACACUGGAACUGAGACACGGUCCAGACUCCUACGGGAGGCAGCAGUAGGGAAUCUUCCGCAAUGGGCGAAAGCCUGACGGAGCAACGCCGCGUGAGUGAUGAAGGUCUUCGGAUCGCAAAACUCUGUUAUUAGGGAAGAACAUAUGUGUAAGUAACUGUGCACAUCUUGACGGUACCUAAUCAGAAAGCCACGGCUAACUACGUG
rnacentral:rRNA from 1 species